rnacentral:rRNA from 1 species
AUAUAUCGGAACGUACCCUGGAGUGGGGGAUAACGUAGCGAAAGUUACGCUAAUACCGCAUACGAUCUAAGGAUGAAAGUGGGGGAUUCGCAAGAACCUCAUGCUCCUGGAGCGGCCGAUAUCUGAUUAGCUAGUUGGUGGGGUAAAGGCCCACCAAGGCAUCGAUCAGUAGCUGGUCUGAGAGGACGACCAGCCACACUGGAACUGAGACACGGUCCAGACUCCUACGGGAGGCAGCAGUGGGGAAUUUUGGACAAUGGGCGAAAGCCUGAUCCAGCAGUGCCGCGUGAGUGAAGAAGGCCUUCGGGUUGUAAAGCUCUUUUGUCAGGGAAGAAACGGUCUGUUCUAAUACAGUGGGCUAAUGACGGUACCUGAAGAAUAAGCACCGGCUAACUACGUGCCAGCAGCCGCGGUAAUACGUAGGGUGCAAGCGUUAAUCGGAAUUACUGGGCGUAAAGCGUGCGCAGGCGGUUUUGUAAGUCUGUCGUGAAAUCCCCGGGCUCAA